GGGUGGCGACCGGCGCACGGGUGCGUAACACGUAUGGAAUCUACCCUUUACUGGGGGAUAGCCCGGAGAAAUCCGGAUUAAUACCCCUUAACAAGCGGGACGGCAUCGUCCUGCUUUGAAAGCUCCGGCGGUAAAGGAUGACCAUGCGCACGAUUAGCUAGUUGGUGAGGUAACGGCUCACCAAGGCUACGAUCGUUAGGGGGCCUGAGAGGGUUAUCCCCCACACUGGUACUGAGACACGGACCAGACUCCUACGGGAGGCAGCAGUGAGGAAUAUUGCGCAAUGGAGGCAACUCUGACGCAGCCAUGCCGCGUGCAGGAAGAAGGCGCUACGCGUUGUAAACUGCUUUUAACCGGGAAGAAACCCCUCUACGUGUGGAGGGUUGACGGUACCGGAGGAAUAAGCACCGGCUAACUUCGUGCCAGCAGCCGCGGUAAUACGAAGGGUGCAAGCGUUAUCCGGAUUCAUUGGGUUUAAAGGGUGCGUAGGUGGGGCGUUAAGUCAGUGGUGAAAUCCUGCAGCUCAACUGUAGACUUGCCAUUGAUACUGGCGUUCUUGAGUGCGCUUGA
rnacentral:rRNA from 1 species